UACGGAGGGUGCGAGCGUUGUCCGGAAUCACUGGGCGUAAAGGGCGCGUAGGUGGCUCGUUAAGUGGUCGGUGAAAUCCCGGGGCUCAACUCCGGGGCUGCCGGUCAGACUGGCGGGCUAGAGCACGGUAGGGGCAGAUGGAAUUCCCGGUGUAGCGGUGGAAUGCGUAGAUAUCGGGAAGAACACCAGUGGCGAAGGCGUUCUGCUGGGCCGUUGCUGACACUGAGGCGCGACAGCGUGGGGAGCAAACAGG
rnacentral:rRNA from 1 species